GAAACCUCGGCGCCUUGAGGGACCGCCGUGUGGCAGCUGCGUCCCUUCCAGAAGUUUCAGCGGUGUGAGCUGCGGCACUUUCGCCGUCAGCAGUGUCUGUUUUUGGCUGUUUGCUCUCACAUGUUGCCAGGGAACACCUUUGGGAGACUCAGAGACACCGGGAGACUGGCGUUUCAAAUAUGUCUUUGUUCUGUCCUGCUCAAUCAACAAUUCCCUUGGAAAUCCAAUUCCAGAGCAAUGAAAUGUUAAAAACCUCUUCUACUUCGGGGCUGGCCGCGUGGCCGAGUGGUUGGGUUCGCGCGCUCCGCUGCAGGAGGCCCAGUGUUUCGUUGGUUCGAGUCCUGGGCGCGGACAUGGCACUGCUCAUCGAACCACACUGGGGCACCAUCCCACAUGCCACAACUAGGUGGACCCACAACGAAGAAUAUACAACUAUGUAACGGCGGGGGGCUUUGGGGAGAAAAAGGAAAAAAUAAA
rnacentral:lncRNA from 1 species